rnacentral:lncRNA from 1 species
GAACAUUUCGUGGAGGCUCAUUGCAAAAUGUCAAUCAUAUUGCACAUCUUUCUGGUGCUCUUGUCGGCGUGCUCUUGGUUUGGCUCCUUAGCAAAGUUCCUUCUGAUUCUCCAGACCGAUAAUCCACUUUGGAAUUGUUAAAUGCCCGCGAUUAUUUAUAGAUCAGAAUCAGAAUGAUGCUACUUAUAUAAAUUCCAUACCACAUGAAUGUAUAUUUAACAACAAAAUGUAAUCAUCUGAGAUGAGGUUCACUUGUGCAACUGCAUAUAAAUGUAGAUGUAAUAUUUGUGGAAAUAGCAUUACUCAUUGAUCCCAACCAACACAGUGUGGUAAGGGUAGAUAAUCUGAAAUGUAGAGCUUCCUUAAUUUUACCUUCUUUACAAUAUCCG